rnacentral:misc_RNA from 1 species
GGCUUUUCUUGUUGUCGGGGACCCCUUCAGUGCAACAACACAUACCGAUUUGGUUUUACGGGCCAAAAAGUUAGGGCUGAAAGUUAAAGUGGUGCACAAUGUUUCAGUCAUGACUGCAGUUGGGGAUUGUGGCUUGCAACUUUACCGCUAUGGUGAAACAAUUUCUUUACCAUUCUUUACUGAAACAUGGAGACCGGACAGUUUCUACCCCAAGAUAGCAAGUAA